rnacentral:rRNA from 1 species
AUGGCAGAAUGCUUCAAUAAGGUGCUCAAGGGUGUACGUGCAUUACCCGUGACGGCAAUAGUUCAAUACACAUUUGACAAGUUGAAUGAAUACUUUUUAAAGCACUCAAUGGAGACUGAUAAGCAGAUUGCUGGUGAGAACAAGGAUAAGCACAAGUACAAUUUCCCACCAAAGGUCGAAGAAUGGUUGGAAUUUCAAUCACGAAAGGCAGACUCCGAAGAAGUUGUACUAUAUGACGACAACGAGUGGAAGUAUGAGGUGAAAGAGCCCGGAGGAACCACAAACGAUGGCCGCCAACACGGAGGCCGGGCUUUCAAGGUCUCCCUAACACGGUGUGAUUGCAGCUGCAUGAGGCCGUCUUUGCUUCAUCUCCCAUACUCGCACUUGUUAAAUGCAUCCCGGGUUAGGAAUGUGGACGUCAAUCACCCUCUUACCGUGAGGGAGUCCGAGUUCUCAAUCAUGACGGUAAAGAAUACAUGGACUCCACGGUUCCAGCCAUACUUGGACCAAUCACAAUGGUCGGAGUAUCAUGGAGUUCAACUAUGGCCGGACCCG